rnacentral:lncRNA from 1 species
CGGCCGCCCCCGCCGCCGAGCGGACAGAGACAGAGACUGCGCCCGCCCGGGCGGGCGGCGGCCGCGGGGAGCGGCGGCGAGCAGCAGACGUCCCCGGCCACGACCCCCCGGGAGCACCCCCCCGCCCGGCAGCCUCCACCGACCGACAGCAACAACGCCUCCGACCCGCCACCCAUCGCUGGAUGUUCCUCCACUUUACCCACCGUAUCAAACAACUUUUACCAGUAAAUAUCGGUUUAUUCCUGAAACCAGAAGCCCUAAACAAACCUUUGUUUAUAAGAAAGCAAGGCUUCUCUAUCAUAAAGGAAGCAUAAAGUGGGAAGGAGGGAGAGAAUUUGAACAUUGCCCGCCCUAAACUAGUUGUAAACUCUUCCCCAAAGGCUGAGAGAAAAGGCAGGUGAAAGGUCUGAUCCUUAAAAGGACAUUGCUAGGUACUUGG